UGAUCAAGGGCAGCCACCUUGGGAAGGCUUGCAUCCUCCCUCUGCCUGUUGCCUAUUUGAUAGCUACAGGAGUCCUCUAUAGAAUAUCUAUUUUACAUACAGCUCUGACAGUUUCUGCCUGCCUUUUCCCUUCCAGGAGGACCCUUGAACUGCGAACACUAGUGCGUCCAGCAGGAAAGCUGUUCCCUUGGAGGGCAGUUAGCACUGCUGGACACUGAGGUGACACUUGGGUCUUCCCAUGGAGUUGCUGUCUUCUACCGUUGAUCCUGCAAGGCUGGCCUCUCCUGACAGUUGCUUCUUUGGCCUCUGGCCCUGAAUUCAGUUGGGUGGAUGGCUCUGGAUUAAGUGCAGGCCUUGCCUCUGUCCUGGGUUCCUGAGGUUUGGGCCACUGAAGCACAGGGCGGGAGGAGGUUGUCAUCUCUGGGGGGAAUUUCAAGUUCAGAUGCCAACAGCUGUGGGCUCUGGCUUAGACCUGGGGCCUCUGCACGCCCCCCCUUCCCUGUCAGCUGUCUUGGGGGCAGGCACCCAGUGGCUUUCUGUUUUGCAUAACUGCAAAGCAGCAGCAUUCCCACUGUCCCCACCUCUGUCUCCACCCCAGCCCCUUUUUUGGUACUAGAGUUUGAACUCAGGGCUUUAGACAUUCUAGGCAAGUGCUCUACAGCUGAGGUAUAUAGUUCCAGCCCCUUUUUUAUUUGAGACAGAGUCUUAUAUUAUACAGUCAGCCUGGCCUCGAGCUCAUAAUCCUUUUAGCUCUAUCUCUAGAACACUGACAUUAAGCUGUGCGCCACCAUGCCCAGCUGCUUUCCUGUUUGACUCCUGUGUCAGGAGCAGCCCUGGAUGGAGGUGGGGUCUGUUCCUGAUGGCUUGGCCAUUGCAGAGGUGUCUGGUGAUGCCACAGCACACUGAUAGGUAGAGGGACAGGCAGCUGUCAGUUUUCCAUGGACCUUGUUUCUGAUGAUAUAUUAUUCCUCCCAAAGGUCAUCUUUUGCUCUGUUUCACCAGGGUUCAGGUAUGACCCACCCCACCCCCUGGCUUUAGAGGUAGGCACUGUGUUCCAGGCCUGGGGACAGAUUGCCGAGUUGUCCGACCAUGGGACUUCAAUUGCAUCUUCUCACAGGCAUUGCUCGGUCAACAGAAUGUCAGCUUGGAAUUGCUGGCAGCCAAGUUGGUAUGCAUGUGAGGAUGAAGCCAACAAAGAAGAAAGAAAACACCGAGUGUUUUUUCAGGAACAUGCACCCUUGUAUCUGUCACCAUCAGGUUGGAAUAUUUCUUACCUGCCCUGAGCAGCCCCAUCCAUCCCUUUGAUGGCCAGUCCUCCAGCCUGGGCCCUCCACCCACCUGUCUAGUGACUCUUCUUGUCUUUUCUGGAUAGUCACAUGGUAUUGAAUGUCUACUCUUCUCUUUGUGUGCUUUCAAGGACCACUCCUUCGUGUGCAGUAGGGGGCCAGCCACUCCUUUGCCGCAGGCAGCAUUUGUUUAGCCAUCUCGAGGAUGAUGGCUGUUGCCAGACUUUGGUGGUUCUGAAUAAAACUCUUUUGAAUGU
rnacentral:lncRNA from 1 species